AUGAAACCAAAAGACAAGUUUCUCAAAGGUCCCAAUAAGGAGUACCAUCACAUGCAUGUGAUGACUAUAAGCAACUUCAUCAUCAUCAUAACCAUGGUCAACCCUUUGAGAUUCUUUGACAAAAUAGAAGAAGCCAUUGGUGGCUCUGAAAUUGUAGCUGACAUUUCUUCACCAACACCAACACCAGAAAUUGCAGCAGGUUCAUUCUAA